GACUACUGGCUUUCUAUGCAAGACGUGUAAGUACUUAGGUGGAGAAGAGUAUGUGAGGAAACCACAUGCAGAAGCCAUGUGGAAAGGAGAGGCCCUGAGACUUGGCAUGAAAAGAGAGAGAAGGCCAGCCAUCUGACUGUCCCAUUCCAGACUCUAAAUGAGAGGGAUCCCAAGCGAAACUAGCUGGAGAAUUAUCCAAUCAGCCCCAGAACCAGCGGACAUAAUAAAAUGAUUGACGUUUAAGGCAGCAGUCAACAACUACAAUGGAAUUAGGUAGCUGAAUCAGUCCAUUCAAGCUCCUAUAAAAAAUACAUGAUAGUCUGGGUGGCUUAUAAACAACUACAAUUUCCACAGUUCUGGCGACUGGGAGGUACAAAAUCAGAUUUGGUGUCAGGUGAGGGCCCAUUUCUUUGUCCAUAAACCGUGCCUUCUAGCUAUCACUUCAGAUCGUGGAAAGGAUUGGGGAGCUCUGUGGGUCUCUUUUAUAAGAGCACUCAUCUCACUCAUAAGUGUUCCACUCAUGUGACCUGAUCAUCUUACAAAUCAAUUUGGCAUUAGAUUUCAACAUAGGAGGUUUGAGGGGACACAAACAUUUGGUCUAAAGCAGUAGCUAAAAGUGCUACUAUAGUGAAAAACCUAAAACGUGGCAUUGGCCUUGCUACUGGGAUUAGGAGUCAAAGCUGGAAGGACCUCAGGGAGGCUGUAAAAGUUGGUCUGAUCAUAAACUUAAUUGUAUUCCCAACCUAGUGUUCAAAAAAUGGUAUAGAUGCUAAAUGAAUAUCUGAUUAAUAAACAGAUGAGGUCUUAUAAGCUAGUAAAACAAACACCCCAGUUUAAAAAUGGGCAAAGAGUAAAUGGGAUUUUCACCCAGAACAAAAAAAUCCAGUAAGAAAAUAAAAACUUGCUUAAUCUCAAUAAUAUUCAAAAAAAUGCAAAUUAAAACAGUACCUUGGCUGGCUAUUUAUUUUACCUCUCAAACUUGCCAGAAUAAAAUAGAAUGAUAGUAGGAAGGCAUGCACUCCUGCAUUUGCUAGUGGGAGUGGACAUCAGUCAAAGUUUUUGGAGUGCAGUUGGCAGUGUGUACUACUAAAUGCCUCAAAAACGCAUAUACCUUUUAACCCAACAAUUUAAAGUUUAGACAAUUUUCCUGAGAGUAUAAUUAAGAAUUACACAUUAGCCAUAAAGAUGACCUUAGUGCAAUAUUUUUAUUAUAAUAAAAAUUAUGAUUGUCUGACUCAAGAUGAAUUAAGUUGUGGUGUAGCAAAAAAUUGUAUUUAUGGCUUGAAAAGAUGUUCAUAAUACAUUUCUGAGUAAAAAAAACCAGGUAACAUAAUGGUGGUAUGAUUAUGAUGGCAUGAUCUCAUGUUUAUUAAAGCAUAUUUGAUAUAUAACAUAAUAUGAUAUACGCAUAUAUAACCUUAAAAUUUUUUCAUAUACAUGGAAUAUAUAUCCUGAUAUGUGUUAGACUCCAUAUUACGCAGGUAGCAGAUCAUUCAGAGCUUUAGUUCCUAAUAGAAAUUUGGUUAUUUCCUUUUCAACACCAUGGAGCUAUUGCAAGAUUUUAUUUUUUUUUUCUUUUAGGGCCAUACCUGCGCCAUAGGGAAGUUCCCAGGCUAGGAGGCAAAUCAGAGCUGCAGCUGCUAGUCUAUACCACAACCACAGCAAUGUGACCUACACUGCAGUUUGUGGUAAUGAAGGAUCCUUAAUCCUUAACUGAGUGAGGCCAGGGAUUGAACGCGCAUUCUCAUGGAUACUAGUCGCGUUCGUUAACAGCAGAGCCACGAAGGGAACUCCAGAAAUGGUUUAUUAACAGAUCUGGCUAUUGACAGACUUGUUGAGUGGAAGAAGUUGGAAUAGCCUUACCCUUUGGGAUCUUGCAGCCGGUUUAUUUAUUUUGUUUCUCCCUUCAACUUAUCCCUCUGGCAGCACACAUGUUUCUAACUUUCCCCUUCCUAAUUCCGUUUCAUUGGAGAGGGCAUUGUGAUCCAAUUUGUCUCAUUAACCUGUGCUAGCAAGUGAAUAGUUCUUACGUGUUAUCCCGUCCUGUUGUGCAUUCACAUACAACAAUUAAGAAAUGUUCAGGUUCUAUUAUUCACUUAAGUAUUUAGUGAACAUCUAUUAUAUUUUAGGUGCUGGGAGAAAAGUAAAGGACAUUCUAUAAGAUUUUAAUACUAUCUUAUAGACUAAGAUAUAUUGAUUCAAUGUGAUGGUAUGCAAAUCUAAGAAGAAUUUCUCUCCAAUUAACCUCUUGUUUAUGGUGCUAAUUUUUUUUCUCUUUCCCCCUUCCACACUCUCUCUCUUUAUUUUUAUUAUUUAUUCCCCAAUGUGUCAUGGGAAAGACUAGAGGUAUUGAGGUAUUGCAGUUUUAUGCAACCCUUAGUAGUGGGCUAAGGUAAUUUUGGUUGGCGUCCCAAUUGAUCACUCUGAUUACUAACUUUAUCUCUUCUCUCUAGAGGGAAAUAUUUGAAUUCCUAAGACCUUAUCAAGAUCUUCUUAAUUUUAGGCUAUUUUUCCUUUGUUGAUUAGUUCUUUCUUCUCUACUCAUUUCCACCUAACAAAUAAACCUCACUUAAGACCUUAAUUUGAGUUUCUCAGGGAGCUAGUACAUGGGCAAGAGUUCCAAAUGUCAGUGUUUUAACCCAGAUUAAGAAUCUUAUGAUGGGAGUUCCUAUCAUGGAACAGCAGAAACAAAUCGGACUAGAACCAUGAGGUUGUGGGUUUGAUCCCUGGCCUCGCUCAGUGGGUUAAGGAUCUGGCAUUGCUAUGAGCUGUGGUGUAGGUCGAAGACGUGGCUCAGAUCCACUGUGCUGUGGCUCUGGCGUAGGCUGGCAGCUGUAGCUCCGAUUUGACCCCUAGCCUGGGAACCUCCAAAUGCUGUGGAUGAGGCCCUAAAAAGCAAAAAAAAAAAAAUCUUAUGAUGAAAUUUAGGAUACCCUAAUAGUGCCAACUAAUGAGAAAGAUUCACAUCAGGAAAGCACUCCAAUUGUCUAAACUUCCUAAGACUGCUCCUAGAAACAAAUAAAAGUGAUACUGGUUAAAAAAAAACAAAAAACAAAAAC
rnacentral:lncRNA from 1 species